UGACGAUGUGUCUAGAAGCUGAAAUGAAUAAAUACAUAUUUCGCUGGUCAGAUUUACCACACACACGUUUUUUUUUUCUGUUCCAAACUGUACUUGUGAAAGAGCAGGAGGGGCUUGUGCUUGGCCUGAGCCGGUCUGGCACCGAGGAAAACUAAAUUAGGCCCAUAAAUCUUGUCGUUUACGGAUGACAUGAACCGCUGAGGAUAACUCUUGGCAUAUUGCUUCAUAUCAGCGAGACGCAGGGGGACAGUGUAAAGGACUCAGUUUCCUGCUUUCAGACUGUCUGCACCGCUGAACUCUCUGCUUGCUGGAUCAAGGGCUGGCAGCAGACCUCGACACCACAGGCCACCAUCUUUAUAGGCUCAGGUUCAGGCUCACCACAGGCCGCCAUCUUUAUAGGCUCAGGCUCAGGUUCAGGAUCACCACAGGCCGCCAUCUUUAUAGGCUCAGGUUCAGGAUCACCACAGGCCGCCAUCUUUAUAGGCUCAGGUUCAGGAUCACCACAGGCCGCCAUC